UACGUAGGGCGCAAGCGUUGUCCGGAAUUAUUGGGCGUAAAGAGCUCGUAGGCGGUUUGUCACGUCUGCUGUGAAAUUUCGGGGCUCAACCCCGAACUUGCAGUGGGUACGGGCAGACUAGAGUGUGGUAGGGGAGACUGGAAUUCCUGGUGUAGCGGUGAAAUGCGCAGAUAUCAGGAGGAACACCGAUGGCGAAGGCAGGUCUCUGGGCCACUACUGACGCUGAGAAGCGAAAGCAUGGGGAGCGAACAGG
rnacentral:rRNA from 1 species